rnacentral:rRNA from 1 species
UGUGACAUACCAAUUGUUGCCUCGGCGGAUCAGCCCGCUCCCGGUAAAACGUUGACGGCCCGCCAGAGGACCCCUAAACUCUGUUUCUAUAUGUAACUUCUGAGUAAAACCAUAAAUAAAUCAAAACUUUCAACAACGGAUCUCUUGGUUCUGGCAUCGAUGAAGAACGCAGCAAAAUGCGAUAAGUAAUGUGAAUUGCAGAAUUCAGUGAAUCAUCGAAUCUUUGAACGCACAUUGCGCCCGCCAGUAUUCUGGCGGGCAUGCCUGUUCGAGCGUCAUUUCAACCCUCAAGCCCAGCUUGGUGUUGGGACUCGCGAGUCAAAUCGCGUUCCCCAAAUCGAUUGGCGGUCACGUCGAGCUUCCAUAGCGUAGUAGUAAAACCCUCGUUACUGGUAAUCGUCGCGGCCACGCCGUUAAACCCCAACUUCUGAAUGUUGACCUCGGAUCAGGUAGGAAUACCCGCUGAACUUAAGCAUAUCAAUAAGCGGAGGAA